GGAUGUGGCUCAGUGGUAGAGCGCUUGCCUAGCAUGUGUGAGGCCCUGGGUUCGAUUCUCGGCACCA
rnacentral:tRNA from 1 species